UGAAUUUGCAGUUGUGUAAGCGUGCGUUGCUCCUUGUCCAGUAGCUCUCUAAGCUGGUCUUGGGCAUGUGCUCAGUGUGUUCUGGGUAGUGUGGUUUGUGUGAGCCAGGCUGCCGCGAUGCGCUGAUCCAGUCCAGCAACCUUCAGAACAAUUGGCCAGCCGUGGAACAGGGCCCACUGUUUUGACAGCCACUGCCUGCAGUGUCACAGCACAUUACACUCCCAUUAGGUGGUCAGAAAGGAGAAAUAUCUGCCUCCUUGGACCUGGGGGACUCACGAUUUGCAGAGGUAUCACUUGCUAAGAAUAAAAGAAAACGUGGCAGACUCUCAUUAGUUACCAUGUUUGUGAUGGACAGGGAUAGAGCUCGUCGGCGAAAAAAUGGAAAUCAGUGGGUGUUCGCUGCUAAAGCUGUGAAAAGCACACGUGCAGGCGAUGAGUCAACACAGUACCUCUGCUAUUUCCUUUUGCCAAGAUUCCUCGUUGCUCGAAAAGUGAUAAAUUGCUAUGCUACAGGGGCUUACAAAGCUUAGUCAUCAGUGACCCUGUAAACCUGGGGAUACGGCUUUAUUUAUAGAAACAUGAGGCACCGUGUAAUGCCUCUGAUCCUGACAGGUAGGACUGGAAGCUGAAAGGAUACAGGGUCAAGCUUUUAAAACUUACAGCUUUUGAAUACAGAUUAUUUCUUACAUGGAAAUUCAGCGUGUGACAUUUUCUCUUUUCCUCAAUUGGUGGGCCAGCAGAUAAUUAGCCAGAGACACUUUAAUACUUUCUUUGAGCACGUUUUAGUGAGCGAACCGGAGACGUGAAAAGCUCAACAUGCAGUUUAGUCAUUUUGGCGUUACUUUCUCGUUUGUUUGUACUCCCACAGACCACACUGGUACAUCGGCGAAAAUUAAAAGAACCGCAAAACAACAAUUUUCCCCAUUUAAAUCUCUGCUUUUGCUUUUAAGUGGUAACAAAGUGAGCUUUCAUCAUAUCGCAAAGCUGUUAAAAGAAAGAAAUGUUUCAGUACAAAAUCUUUCAUUUUGAUGUGUUAGAUGAGUUCUGCAUAAAUGAGAAACUCACAAUGUGUUAUGUCUCACAGUGAGUUAAUUUGAGUGAGGUUUUAAGUUAGUAAGAGGAAAAACAUUAAAAACAGCUUCAAGAGCCUGUCAUCAGUUCAAAAUCAUGUUUACAAGCCAUUCUCAUAAAGUUGGAACAAGUCACAACGUACCGAGCUGAUAAAACACCGUUAAGCGUAUUUGUUUAGCUGCUGAAGAGGGUCUCAGCUCCCAAGCAGAGCAUUCUGUUUAAACCAAGAGCUUGAUACUUGCAAAUGUUAAAUAUGCAAAGAAUUAGACAUCAAUUAUCUUCAUUUGUUUCGGUUAAAACAGAGUACAUAUGCUGGUAGUCAGAAAAAGAAAAAGUCCAUAAAGUUAACCAUUGUUUCUACAUGUGACAAGGAAAACAAAAUCCAGGUGUGACUGUAAUAUUGGGUGUGCACAGCAGUAUCCCAACUAUCCAGGAAGUUGCUCACUCCAUUAAAAUAACCAGGAGUCCUGAAUAUUAUGUUGUCUUUGCCAGCAGUCAAACAGCAGCACUAUUAAAAUGGAUGCUGCGCUCAGAGCCAAACAGUAUAAAGGAGAAAGCAAUUUCCAAAUCCUAGUUUUAUUAUAUUGCCACCUGUCUCACAUCUCUAAACUUAUUGCUUUUUGUUGGCACCAACACCGUCGGCAAUGACCUUCAACAAUCCUAAGCUCAUGAAUGCAGCAUGGCAGCGGUGCAGAUGCUCCCAGUCGAGAUUCUUUCCUUUCUUUUUUUUGGACCAACUUCUCUCUCUGUUCUCGCUCUCCUUGUGUUCAGGCUCGGCUUCGUCUUUCAUCAUCUCUUCAUUCCCUGGCGGAGCUGGCGGGUAGGUGCAGGUGUAGAUAAUUAGUGUUUGAUUUCAAAGCUUCAAUUCAAGAUAACUGACACAACCAUCGCUGACUCCAAGUUUCCCAGAGAAUAAAGACUCUUCGAGGGGAUUUUUGUAGUUAGUAAAUUUUUCUUUCCCUCUGAUGUUUUUCUUUCUCUCCGUUUUAGUUAAAGUCUCAUUAACUGUUGGAAAGAUGUUCUUGGAUUUUUGUGCAGGCGUUCAUGUUGCCCUCAGGAUGAACUGGAACCUUUUUAGGUUCUUCUCUUUUUUCUGUGGUAUUAUGAUUCAGUCAAAACCUUUUUAGUGCUUUGGUUUAUGCCCGAAUCCUACAAAACCGAACACCAGCUGUGAUUAUGCUUAUUUAAUAUUAAUUGGUAAAUUCUGGCAUGAUAACUAAACUGCUCAUUACUCAUUACUAAACUCCCAUUUAACAGAUAUUCAGUGGCUCACUUAAGAGUAAGCAGUAAAUUUAAAUUUUGCCAUGCCUGUAUCACAUCAUUAUGCUGGCAUGCUGAUGCCAGCCUUUAUUGUCAAGGUAGAGUACGUAGGAAAAGUCUUGAGCCGCCCCUCAUUUCUUUAUAUUUUGCUUACUGUCAGCUUGCAGGUUUUCAUAAAGUGGUCUUGAGUAAUAGUUCUCCAGGCUUUCUGAAGGUCUUACUAUGAUUUUCUCUUGACAUUGACUACAUUUUCAACCAUUUUCAGUCCAGUUCAUAACCCUUUUGAAAGGAAUGUUUUUUUUGUUUGUUUAUUUGUUAAUUCACUCAUCACCGACCUAUGAGUCAUUCAAACAUAACAAGGCACCUAACUCAAAGGAUGAAUCAGUGUUGUGUCUACACAGACAACUUAGCAAAGAAUCAAUUUUUAAUUGCAUCUUUAGACAGUUUGUUACUUGCAAAAACACAUCAAUUUACAAUUUCUUUAGUUGAAUUUAAAAGUGGGAAAGAGGACACAGUUUGACAGGAAUAAAAUAGCAUUCUUGUAUCAACAAGGUGAUUCCCAAAGAGCUAUAAGACAUAAACUUAGUAUCUCAGAAUGGUGUGCUGUGUGUUCUUACAAAGUGUCAAGGUGCCACAAGAAGUGGCAGGCCUAAAAAACUAUCUGCAGCAGGAUCUGUAUCUCCAUCUACUGCUCACUGAAGCCUCAUCAGAAAUAGUCUGACGACGAAACCAAUCUGAAGGAAGGAAAACUGAAAAAACUGCUGAAGAAUGAAAAAUAACAAAAGAACUGGACUGAAAAUCAGUGACAAAAGGUCUUAUGGAUUGCUGAAUUCAAAUUUGAAAGGUUAUCCUCAGAAGUGGUCAGGAGAGAGGUACAAGAGUGAGUCUCUACAAAUAUUCUGUAAAACACAGUGGAGGCUCUGUCAUGGUUUGGGGCUGGAUUCCAGCCUGUGGUGUUGGGGAUCUUUUCAAAACUGAUAGAAUAAUGAACACAGAAAAAUACUGUAAGAUUUUGAUCCACCAUCUGGAAAAGAUCUGAUUGGCAACGGCUUCGUCUUUCACCAUGACAAUGAUCCCAAACACACUGUCAAUGCAAUAAUAGCAAAGCUGGAUACAAAAACACACAAUGGGUCAUUUUUGGUUAUGGAGCUCAACGUUUUUGAAGCAGGGUGGGAUCAUCUUGACAGAGAUUCAAACAAAAGGCAGCCAACAUCCAAAGAAGAGCUUUGAAUGUCCUUCAAGAAGCCUGGAGAACUAUUCCUGAAGAGUACUUAAAGAAAUUAUAGGAAAGCUUGCUUAGUAGGAUCCAGACUGUGUUGAAGAAUAAAGGUGGUCAUAACUGUAAUACCUGUUUUUGCCUUAUAUACUAUAUUUCUGUAUGUUUGCAUGUUUCAGUAGAUUGAAUCUCUAGAUAGAUUUUUUGAACACAAUAUAAAGAAAUGACUGGUGGCUUAAGACUUUGCACCAUAUCUUUUAGGUUUUAGAGAACAGACCGGGAUCCUCAUUAGGGAUCCUCAUGGUGCUGACUACUGCCGAUUCUAAAUUUGGCUGUAGAGUCAGGAUUAUACUUGCUCGCAAACAUAGACAUGAACAACUGAGGACAUCAUGGAUGACUGGUUUCCAUCUCUUCGUGGUUCCCUUUUAGUUUGGUGCCUGAGCCCAUCCUAGACUUUAUAUAUCUAUCUACUGUGUCCUCACCUAAUUGUUGUGGAGUCCACAUUUUGCUACAGGAACAUUAGCAUUUUGGGCCAUGUUGGUUUUUGUAGACAGAAGUGAUCGUACAUGGAAGACAGCAUGAAAUGCAAAGAUCUGAGCUGAGGCUAUCAUGCCUGGUUAGCAGGAUGCAUACACUCACUGACCAAAACCGAAACGGAAACACCUUGAACAACAAGCCAUAUUAUUUCUCUGAUAAUUCCACAGAAAUGCUCCUGAGGUGGAGUUCAGAGACUCAAAUUAGUUGAGAUGAGCUCCCAGCUGCAGGGACACCUGUUAACCACAACAGCCAUGCCCAUCAUCUUAAGCCUUAAUAAACUCCAAAUAGGUGAGUUUUUUUAAAAAAAAGACCCCCAGUGCAGUAGUUAUGAAGGGGAAAGUUAGCUUUAGCAACCAAAAGCAUUUUUGUACCAAUCAUAGACUCAUUCAGGUCCAGAGGUUGCUGCACGGCUCAGUCACAUCCAUUCGUUCACAACAAACUUUGGCAGGCCUGUGGACACCCACAUUUAGCCUCACGUCCCCCAUUUAAUGACUCUCUCAGACCCUCUCGCACUUGCUGAUGCGGAAACUAGAACACUGCCACGAGUUCUGUUAUCAGCUUGGCGUUGUGAAGCAUAUGAGUCAUUCCUGGACUCCUAUCUUUGAGAUGUUUAUUCUUGGUUGUGCAUCCCCAAAUUUAUCAUUGUCACCAGCAGCCUUCCCUCCUCUGUUUACUUUCUAAAUAACUUAAAGCUUUAUUGGCUGAAAGGGUCACAUCUGUUUGCCAAAGGAUUAGUAAGAUAUUCUUCUGAGCCUGAUGAUAUUGUUUGUCCUUGUCAUACUCUCCUGCACCAUUUCUUAUUCUUAAGCAGUUUUCCUUGAUGGAUAUGGCUUUCUUCAGAUGAGCAUCAUUGAGUCACCUUUGUCAUUUGUCCAGUCAUUUUCUGCGUGCGUCGCCCUGUACAGACAGACCUCACCUCCCCUAACUCGCCCUUUCGAUUGUUUUAAGCAUCUGGUGAGAACCAAUGUGACUUCUCCCAAUCAGGGUUUAAGUAAGCAUUAUUUGAAUAGUAACAAAUGGAUAUGAAAAACAAUAAUGAGUAAUAAUAUCUUUUAUUUCUUUCUGUUCACAUUUGACUGUUGGUCAGUGUGUAUGUAUGUGUGUGCUUGGUGUUCUUGUGUUGGGGUUUAUUUCUUUCCGAAACCGUGAGAAGAAAAAGCUUUCUGUUUUUGAAAAACUUCAUGUAAAUAUUGUUGGUGAAAAAUUAACAUUUGUUGUACGCUGAGUUUUCAUUUGUCACUCGAAAUGAUGACGAAAACAAUGAUAUUCAUGAAUAACAGUGGUGAUGUUGACGAUACUGAAGCUGAUUAUACCUGCCCUUCUUGAACAAGGGCUUUUGAUGUCUGCUGUAUUUUUGUUGGAGGUGUCGUGUGGUCAGGGCAAGAGAAACAAAGGGAAGGAGUGAUACCCAACACAUCCCGGAUCCGCUGUAGCAACACUGCCACAUACCCUUUACCCUCCCCCCACACCUCCAGGAAAUUGUGCGAUAUGUGGCGCUAAUCGUAGCCUGUGUUUCUCAUGCCAUAAAGCUUUGGUUGCGUUUGUGUUGCAAACACCAAAACCAGCAGCGCCCUGCUUUUCAAGCGAGCUGCAUGCCUCCCCGUGGAGCCACUCUGUCCUGGUUUGCUUGGCAUCGCAUCUCACCCUGUCUGCUCACAGGCUUGGGGAUUUACUGUAAUGCCAUUGUGUUAGGCAGGAUUGGCCCUGUUCUGACACUGAUGAUGCCGUCUUCAUUGAAUUUGCAGUCAUUAUUUUCUCUGUUGGAGGCCAUGCAUGGGGAUGGGCAUGUAUGAGGACAGAGUGUAUUCCUAGUAGAAGGACAUAAACCAUCCAUCUGACCCCGUAAAGACAAUUUUCAUGCUGGUGAGUCAGCCUCUUAUUCGAGGGUUAGACUCAUGGUUAAGCACAAGUGACUGACAUGAACUUGCCACAUUAUAGGCCCAUCUUGUGCUUUUCCUUUUCUUUCUUUCUUUCUUUCUUUCUUUCUUUCUUUUUUUUUUUUUAAAGAAUUCACAGUCUUGAGGAAGAAAUAAGAAAUAACCUAUAUAGGCUAUAAAUGUUUGCCAUAUGGCAAUAAUUAUUUUUAAUCAUUAAAAAAAAUAUUUUAAAAAAUAGGACAGACUUGUUUCCAAAUGUCCAAAAUGUGCCCUGUGCCUUCUUGACAGACAUAUUCAGCCCACUGCUUUAUCAAAUAUAUACAUAAAUAACUGCACAGGGCUCUAGUCCAGUUAUUUUCACUGCAGGUGUCAGUACACCCACUUCCCUAUUUUUCAUAUGUCAUUGCCUUAUGUAUCUGGCUGGGCCUGUCGACAGUGCUGAGAUGGAGCUUAUCAGUUUCACUUUUAGGACCGUCUCUGCCAACAGACAUGAUAUGGUACAGCAGAUACUCCCAGCAGCCUUCUGCAAGAAGGACAGUGGAUACAGUCUUGCCUUCAUUUGUAACACCAUCCUGUAGAGGGAGUCCCACAGGGUCAGAAAGUCCACAGACACACUAAAAAUAAAAUUCCCCUAAACCCAGAUCCGUCAGAGCGCGCGUCUCUUACUUUCCUCGCUGGUUGUAAAUAGACUUGAUGCAGUUAGAGCAGCCUCUAACUCCUGCCAUAAUGUGGACAUUUUUAAUCAGGUAGGUAAUAAGCAAUACACUUAACCGAUCUAAUGCCAUACUCCGAAAUGUUACUGACAAAGUGUGAUGGUGACUUCUUUGCGUUGAGGGAUGUCGAGGGUAACACUCCUGUUUCUUCACCUCCUUUUCUCGACUCGCCGUGGCCCAACUCUUCAACAAAGAGUGCUCUAACUUAAAACACACAGUUGUGAUGUGUACAAUCUAAUUUAAUGUAUUUAUUUAUGUAUUUUUGCCAACUUUGUAAAGUGUAUAAAUAUCUAUAAAUAUAUGAAAAAUGACAGUACUGUAUAG
ensembl:lncRNA